rnacentral:rRNA from 1 species
AGAGUUUGAUCCUGGCUCAGAACGAACGCUGGCGGCAGGCCUAACACAUGCAAGUCGAACGAUCGUAGCAAUACUUGGAGUGGCAGAGGGGUGAGUAACACGUGGGAACCUUCCCUAUGGCUCGGAAUAGCUCAGGGAAACUUGGGGAAAUACCGGAUAGGCCCUUCAGCGGAAAGAUUUCUCGUUAUUGGAUGACCCCGCGUUGGAUUAGCUAGUUGGUGGGGUAGGACCCUACCGGGGAGACUACCCAUAUGUGGUCUGAGAGGAAGAUCACCCACUGUGGCAGUGAUACGCCCCCCACACUCCUACGAGAGGCAGCAGGGGGGAAUAUUGCACUAUGGGAGAAAGUCUUUUCCCUCCGUGCCGCGUGAGAGAAGAGGGUUUUUUUUUUUGUAACGCUCUUUCGUGCAUCAUAUCAUUACUGCCCG